rnacentral:rRNA from 1 species
GACGAACGCUGGCGGCGUGCUUAACACAUGCAAGUCGAACGGAAAGGCCCUGCUUGCAGGGUGCUCGAGUGGCGAACGGGUGAGUAACACGUGGGUGAUCUGCCCCUUACUUUGGGAUAAGCCUGGGAAACUGGGUCUAAUACUGGAUAGGACCAUGCUGUAGGUGGUGUGGUGGAAAGAUUAGUUUCGGUAAGGGAUGAGCUCGCGGCCUAUCAGCUUGUUGGUGGGGUAAUGGCCUACCAAGGCGUCGACGGGUAGCCGGCCUGAGAGGGUGGACGGCCACAUUGAGACUGAGAUACGGCCCAGACUCCUACGGGAGGCAGCAGUGGGGAAUAUUGCACAAUGGGCGCAAGCCGGAUGCAGCGACGCCGCGUGGGGGAUGACGGCCUUCGGGUUGUAAACUCCUUUCAGCCAUGACGAAGCCCUUGUGGUGACGGUAGUGGUAGAAGAAGCACCGGCUAACUACGUG